rnacentral:lncRNA from 1 species
GUUAAAUUUAUUUAAGAUCAACUUAUUUUAAGGAGUUUGAACUAAAGUUUUAAGUAAUUUUCUAUUUCUAUGUUUUGUUUGUUUCGUUUUAGUAUUUGGAGCAUCGUUUCAGUAAGGGCGUCAGAACAGCUGGUUCUAUGACAUUUUCUAUACAAAUGGUAAGUAACGUUACUGUAAACGCUGGUAUUAUAAAAAAAUAAUAAUGAUAUAAUGAAUAAGAACUAUAGGCUGAAAAUCUAUACUACAAGACCACCGGGUACUUAGUUGAUAUGAAUAUUUAUCAAUAAGGUGUUGUAUCAUCCGUGGAACUUUUAAGAAAAAGGGCGAGACAUUCUUGAAAAACCCAUUACUCACAAACUGUUGACAUUUAUAUAUACACUGAGUAACAGUUGCAAGCUCUAAAAUACCUAAUGAAUUAGGAAAUGUGUACACCAUAUGCAGGUGAAGUUCUAUACUACAUCCGGGAAGUUAAAUAACAGCAUGGUGAUGUUGUGGUAUGAAAAAAGCUUACGAAUAAGAAUUGCCUGGAAAAAAAAAGAAGUUAACAUUUAAUCCGACCAGGAAUAUUUAAAAGUAGUUAGUAGACCAGUUAAUUAUUUUUGAAAUUUAUUUAUAUAACAGUUAUAGUUAGGCUUAUUAGAAAUUUCAUACCAUUUUGGAUCAAUUGAACGUUAGGAGUACUCAUGGUCAACGUAUAUCUGAAUAGUUAUCCGUUUGUUUUUUUUAGUUGUUGUAUAUGGCGCUUGUCCUGUAUGCUCCAUCACUCGCUUUAAAUGCAGGUAAGAUAUGGUUUUCUUUUUCAGUUGUCGUUUAUUUGGGUCUAAAUGCCAUUAAAUCAUAGCCAGUCAUUAUAUGUUUCCCAGUUAUACAUUAUUUUUUGCCCAUUUUGCUACAGAUUUAUUCUCUAUCCUGUAAACCUCAUCCAAACCAUCAUAUAUGACACUCGUACCAAUUUUACUAGUUCUUGUUUCUCUUAUCUUCAUUUGGAGUAAGGUCAAAUUAUAUCGACUUGUUAAGUUUUAAUGAAAUAGGAUAAAACUCUGUAUAAAGAUAUAAAAGGUUGUAUGUUGAACAAUUGGUGGGUCUCAUCAUCAUAAAACAUUAAGUGCGGUAUUAGACAAGGCUAUCCGUUAAGUUCCCUGAUUUUUGUUAUUGCUGAAUUAGACAAGAUUCCAAUAUCAAAGGUUUUCAAAUCAAGCUUGAUACAAAACACAUAGUUUUAAGAACUCGCAAUUAGCCGACGAAACAACCCUUUUUUAAAUCGCAAAAUGAGUAUGUCACAAUCUUUAGAACACUAUCAUGUUUAAAACUGAACAGAUCAACACAUUUGGUUAGGAAAAUUAAAUCAUUGCUAAGAUAAGUUUGAAACAUUAAAUGGAAUAAAGGACCAAUUAAAAGUAUAGGGGUUUAUUUUAGAACAAAUCGAGCUGAAUGCGAUAAGAUUAAUACUGAACAAAAUUUUAAAAUGUGACAAAUUAAUAAGUUAUUGGAAAAAAGAGACAUCUAAUAUGAAAUAAAACAGAGGAUUAUAAGCAUUUGUUCUGGAAUGUCAAUACUUAAAAAAUCCUUUUGGAAAAUGAUAAAUAGUUAAAUAUCAAAGGUACCAGGAUUAUAAUUUAGUACGCCAGACGCGCGUUUCGUCUACAUAAGACGCAUCAGUGACGCUCAUAUCAAAAGAUUUAUAAAGCCAAACAAGUACAAAGUUGAAGAGGAUUGAGGAUCAAAAAUUCCAAAAAGUUGUGCCAAAUACGGCUAAGGUAAUCUAUGCCUGUGGUAAAAAAAUCCUUAGUGUUUCGUAAAACUCAAAGUUUUGUAAACAGGAAAUUUAUAAAAAUGACCACAUUAUUGAUAUUCAUGUCAACACCGAAGUGUUGACUACUGGGCAGGUGAUACCCUCGGGACGAAACGUCCACCAGCAGUGGCAUCGGCCCAGUGGUGUAAAUAGUUAUCAAAGAUACCAGGAUUAUAAUUUAGUACGUCAGACGCGCGUUUCGUCCACAUAAGACUCAUCAAUGACGCUCAUAUCAAAAGAUUUAAAGAGCCAAACAAGUACAAAGUUGAAGAGCGUUGAGGAUCCAAAAUUCCAAAAAGUUGUGCCAAAUACGGCUAAGGUAAUCCAUGCCUGGGAUAAGAAAAUCCUUAGUGUUUCGAAAAAUUCAAAGUUUUGUAAACAGGAAAUUUAUAAAAAUGACCACAUUAUUGAUAUACAUGUCAACACCGAAGUUUUGACUACUGGGCAGGUGAUACCCUCGGGGACGAAACGUCUACCAGCAGUGGCAUCGACCCAGUGGUGUAAAUAGUUAGGAUUAUAAUUUAGUACGCUUUAAUAAAGCAAGGAGUUGUAUACAAAUCCUUGAAUAAAGUUAAGAUAGGUCAUCAUAUCCUAAACUAAAGAUAUCUCGUAGAAGAAUAUAAAAUCUGGGACAGCAGUUAUUAUGAUAUAAAUCUUUUUGUAACAUUAAUUACAUUUUCCAUCCAUAAGUGCACUCACAUUUCAAAUUAUAAAACUUCAAAUAUUGAUGUAUAUGUCCUGUUAAAAAAACUUUUUUAACUAUUAAAAUAUUUCGACACUAACAAGGUGGUUAUCUUGGUAAAAUUUUGAAAGAAAUAAGCUUGUUUCUCUAAUUAUAUGGAAAAAUAUCCCUUUCCGAACCCGUUGUAUAAAAAAAAUUUAAUCAACGUGUGGUUGCCGGUGAUCUCAGAAGAUGAUUGGCUAAGUCAAAGGGUCAUAACCUUUCUCAGCUCCCUGAAAUGAUCAAAAUGUUCUAACAGGUGUUAAUGAAAUUGACAACUUCGUAGAAAGUGGAAGGCACUGGAAGGGGAUUUUGGUUUAGAAAAAAAGGAAAUUUAUCUUUUUAUCAUUAGAUAAACAGAUUAUUACAUAGUAACGAUACUUCCGAGGCUCGGACUUUAAAAUUGAUAAUUUAACUAUCUCGAUUGGAUAAAUCCGAUAAUCCACUUGUAUCAAUGUAAUAAUCUAUAAAUAUAUACUUUUUAUUAUGUUUAUGUUAUGCAUAUAAUUAUAUGCUCUAUUUAUUUAGCUGGCAUAAUUAUGUCACUUAUUCUAAUUAAUCAUCAGACCAAGUGUUGUGGACUUCGUCACAAUCAUGAUCGGUGAUAAAAUCUAUAGAAUGUAAAUCUUACAAUUUAUUAUUAUAAACUGAACAAUCUCCCUGUUUGUUCAGUUAGACUAACCCUACAGGAGUGCCCUGUCAAAUGCUGUAGACGUGGUAUUCAUUAUAACUGCAUUAGUGCAGUAAAUUAGAUUUCAGGUGAAUAAAAAGAAUUACUGAGUUCUGCCUGAAAGUAUCUCACUUGCCUAUUUUAUUAAAUCACUAGACAGAAAGAGAGAACAUUAUCUAACGCAUGAAGCUUACGUAUACACUGUUACUGAAGCGUGAUAUGUAAAUACGAUCCAGUUUUUUGUUCAGGUCCAUGUCGCAUUCUCGAGAAUACAUAUUGUUGAAUAAAAUGAAUUCAUCAUCAACCCAUAGUGCAAAAUUCUUAAAUAUAAACUGACAAUAGAUGAGAGGCUUAGCCUUUAUAGGAAAGACUUGCGUUUUAGCUACAAAAGACUCACCAGCAAGACUCGACUAAACAAGUAUAAAAAAGCGAAAUAAUUAUUAUAUGAACGAUUGCAUAAUAUAAUAAACUUUAAUAUAACUUGCAUAGAACAUAAAUGAAUUUAAAAAAUAUUACUUUUUUGAUUUGAUAAUAUUCAUGACACCAACCCGAAGAAGUUAAUAAACAAUAAAUUACAUUUUUGGAAUUUGGAACGCCUGAAAUGCGUUUCGUCAAUAGUUAGACUCAUCAACUGCAAUAGAAUCAAAACAGUUAGACAGCCAAAUCAAAUAAGAAAAUCUUCGAAAAAUAAAAAAGGAAAUUUACUGAACCAUACAGUAUCAAAAUGAUUUUUCAUGUCAACAUAGAAGUGAUGUCAUCUGAUCUGGUGAUAUCCCAGUAGAAUAUAAAUGCAAUCUCAUUACUGCGUUGAAAGAACAUUAAUCAUCCUGUAACGGAUAAGAAUACAAGUGCGUAGCACAUUUUGCAAGCACCACAUCAGUAUUUCAACUUAGACAUGUGCUUUGUCAUUUUUUUUUUAUUCCAUAUAAUUUUUAAAUCUGAAAAUCAUAUAUCUAAAGCUUUAUUAUAGAAUAUGAUACAUAACAUCAAGAUAAAUCCUCACAAAUAUCCCUCGUCAGUUGUUUUUAAUGUAUUUACCUGUACCCUAAGCCUUCAUCGAUUUCUCAUCCGGUAUAGAGAGCUAUUUUUUGGAGUAAAAGUAUGUAUAUUAAAUAACUCUAUGUCAUCAAAUUAUUCACUUGAUCUUAGAAUAAUUGACUGUGCCGGAAAACAUAGUCGGAAGAUACCACACGGACAACGAGUCGGAGAAAAAAAACUUCUUCCAUUUUACUCUGCUGAUUUUGUCGCCAAUUGUGCGUUUGGUCUACAUAAGAAUCUUUAUAUUCCAAAAAAUCAUACAAAACCAUGGAUGAAAUGAAGAAGAACAGUUGACAAAAAAUUACACAGAAACAAAAAACUGAUCAUAACGAAUUCAAGAAACUUUUGGAGACCGCAUGUUCUCCGAAAGGGUAAACAAAUACUGUCAUGUCUGUGAUACCUGACAGAUGUCAAGUACCAACCUGUAUAUGAUCAAUUGUUACCGGAUGAUUGUUUUGCAGCCUCCUAUUUAAUAUAUGUUUUUCGUACACCUAACAAAAGAUGGAAGUAACACAUUAUAAAUUGUAUGCGUUUGAAAUCCUUUUCUUACUUACCCUUCUUACAAAAUUGGCCUUAUAUAAAUCUGCCUAAUAUUUUGUUGUCAUAUAGAACUUUAACUCUUUCGGUUUCUUGUACAUCCUUGACGCAUAAAAUCCAUGUAUUGUUUACAUUAUUUUCCUUCAGUCCACAAUUUUUACAUGAAAGUGUUGAAUUGAGAUAUCAUUUUGUAUCCGUAUAUCCAGAAAGUUCUGAUUUUAUAAAAGAUGAAAUGUAAAUGUCAUGCAACAAUUGUCUUUUAGGAGAUUAACGGAAAGUCAUAUUUGGUUUUUUUGUUAUCAAAAUUCUGAGUCAAUGGAAAAAUAUGCCCUCUACUCUUGACAUAUGUUUAGCCCAGUAGUCAGCACUUUGGUGUUGUUAUGAAAAUCAAUUAUAUGGCCAUUUUUAUAAAUUCCCUGCCUACAAAACUUUUACUUUAUAACUAUUUUGAUCUGAGCGUCAAUGAUGAGUCUUAUGUAGACGAAACGCGCGGCUGACGUAUUAAAUUAUAAUCCUGGUACCUUUGAUAACUUAUUAACAUCUUUUGCAGUGACUGGGUUUACUCUAUGGGGAUCAGUCAUAUCAGUGGGAGC